rnacentral:rRNA from 1 species
UUAUAAAUUUAAUUAUUAUUAUUGAUUUUUUAAAGUAUUAUUUUAUUUAUUAUUAUAAAAGAAAAAUUAAUUUUUUAUUAUAGUUUACUAGUAAAGUGAUUGAAUUUAUUUAUAUAUUAAUAAGAAAAAUUUAUUUUUUGUACCUUGUGUAUCAGGGUUGAUUAAUUUUAUAAUUAUUAUUAAUUUUUCUCGAAUUAAGAAGAGCUAAUUAUGUAUAUGUUUAAUUUUUUCAUAAAUUUUCAUAAUAUAUAAUUUGAAAUGAAAUGUUAUUCGUUUCUUAAUAUAUCUAGUUUUUUAAGAAAAGAAUUUAAUUCUCUUAUUAUUUAUUAUUAGUUAAUUUUUAGUUAAUAAUUUUUAGUAUGAAAUAAAUAAAGGGAUAAGCUUUUAUUUUAAUAAUUAAAAAUUUAUAUGGUUUUAUUUUUUGUAUAAUUUAAAUUGUUAAUCAUUUUUAUAAUAUAAUAGUUAAUUUUAUUUAAUUAAUGAUUUAUAUUUAUUUUAAUUUUUUUAUUAAAAAUUUAUGUUUAAUUUUUUAGCUUUUUUAUAAUGAUUAAAUUAGUAGAUAAAUAUGUAUUUUAUUAUUUAUUUUUAAGAUAAUAAAAAGGAACUCGGCAAAUAAAUUUUUCGCCUGUUUAUUAAAAACAUGUCUUUUUGAUUAUAAUUUAAGGUUUAAUCUGCUCAAUGAUUUAUUAAAUUGCCGCAGUAUUUUGACUGUGCAAAGGUAGCAUAAUAAUUAGCUUUUUUAUUGAGAGCUGGAAUGAAUGAUUGGACGAAAAAAUUUCUGUCUCUUUAUUAUUUAUUAUUUAAUUUUACUUUUAAGUUAAAAGGCUUAAAUUUUUUUAAAAGACGAGAAGACCCUAUAGAGUUUUAUUUUUAUUUUUUGAUUAAUUUUUAGAAUUUAAAAUAUUUUAUAAAAUAAAAAAUUUAGUUGGGGUGACUGAAAGAUUAAUUAAACUCUUUUAAUUGAAAUCAUUUAUUUAUGAAUAGAGAAAUUAUUUUUAUAAAUUUAAAAUAAAUUACCUUAGGGAUAACAGCGUUAUUUUUCUUUAGAGUUCUUAUUGAAAGGAAAGAUUGCGACCUCGAUGUUGGAUUAAAAUUUAUUUUUGGUGUAGAAGCUUAAAUAUUAAGUCUGUUCGACUUUUAAAAUUUUACAUGAUCUGAGUUUAAACCGGUGUAAGCCAGGUUGGUUUCUAUCUUUAAAUUUUUAAUAUAUUUUAGUACGAAAGGACCAAAUAUAUAAUAUAUUAUUUUAUUUUGAAUAAUAUU